rnacentral:rRNA from 1 species
AGAGUUUGAUCCUGGCUCAGAAUCAACGCUGGCGGCGUGCCUCAGACAUGCAAGUCGAACGCGAAAGUCUCCUUCGGGGGAUGAGUAGAGUGGCGCACGGGUGAGUAACACGUAGGUAAUCUACCUUCGGGUGGGGAAUAACCCAGGGAAACUUGGGCUAAUACCGCAUAAUGCAGCGGCACCACAUGGUGACAGUUGUUAAAGCGGGGGAUCUUCGGAUCUCGCGCCUGAAGAGGAGCCUGCGGCGGAUUAGCUAGUUGGUAAGGUAACGGCUUACCAAGGCGACGAUCUGUAGCCGGCCUGAGAGGGCGGUCGGCCACACUGACACUGACAUACGGGUCAGACUCCUACGGGAGGCAGCAGUCGGGAAUUUUGGGCAAUGGGCGAAAGCCUGACCCAGCAACGCCGCGUGAAGGAUGAAAUCCCUCGGGAUGUAAACUUCGCAAGAAUGGGAAGAAUUAGUAGGGGUUAAUACCCCCUAUGAUGACGGUACCAUUUGUAAGCUCCGGCUAACUCCGUGCCAGCAGCCGCGGUAAUACGGGGGGAGCAAGCGUUGUUCGGAUUUACUGGGCGUAAAGGGCGCGUAGGCGGUCAGCACAAGUCAGUUGUGAAAUCUCCGGGCUUAACUCGGAAAGGUCAACUGAUACUGUGCGACUAGAGUGCGGAAGGGGCAACUGGAAUUCUCGGUGUAGCGGUGAAAUGCGUAGAUAUCGAGAGGAACACCUGCGGCGAAGGCGGGUUGCUGGGCCGACACUGACGCUGAUGCGCGAAAGCCAGGGGAGCGAACGGGAUUAGAUACCCCCGUAGUCC